UACGUAGGAUGCAAGCGUUGUCCGGAAUUAUUGGGCGUAAAGAGCGCGCAGGCGGUAUGACAAGUCAGAUGUGAAAGAGGCCGGCUUAACCGGCAAGGGUCAUUUGAAACUGUCAGACUAGAGUGCAGCAGAGGAUAGUGGAAUUCCCGGUGUAGUGGUGAAAUGCGUAGAUAUCGGGAGGAACACCAGUGGCGAAGGCGGCUCACUGGUCCGGUACUGACGCUGAGGUGCGAAAGCGUGGGGAGCAAACAGG
rnacentral:rRNA from 1 species